rnacentral:rRNA from 1 species
AGCAGCCGCGGUAAUUCCAGCUCCAAUAGCGUAUAUUAAAGUUGCUGCAGUUAAAAAGCUCGUAGUUGAAUUUCGGAACCAAUAUGUUGGUUGUGCCUCGGUACGUACUGGCAUUGUUGGUUUCUCCCUUCUGACGAACUAUGAUGUCAUUAAUUUGGUGUCGUGGGAAAUCAGGACUGUUACUUUGAAAAAUUAGAGUGUUUAAAGCAGGCUCACGCUUGAAUACAUUAGCAUGGAAUAAUGAAAUAGGACGUUUGAUUCUAUUUUGUUGGUUUCUAGGAUCGACGUAAUGAUUAAUAGGGAUAGUUGGGGGCAUUAGUAUUCAAUUGUCAGAGGUGAAAUUCUUGGAUUUAUUGAAGACUAACUACUGCGAAAGCAUUUGCCAAGGAUGUUUUCAUUAAUCAAGAACGAAAGUUAGGGGAUCGAAGACGAUCAGAUACCGUCGUAGUC